UCUGCCACCGAAUACAUUAGCAUGGGAUAAUGGAAUAGGACCCUGUCCUCAAUUUUCAGUUGGUUUUGGCAGCGCGAGGACUAGGGUAAUGAUUAAUAGGGAUAGUUGGGGGCAUUAAUAUUUAAUUGUCAGAGGUGAAAUUCUUGGAUUUAUGAAAGAUUAACUUCUGCGAAAGCAUCUGCCAAGGAUGUUUUCAUUAAUCAAGAACGAAAGUUAGGGGAUCGAAGACGAUCAGAUACCGUCGUAGUCUUAACCAUAAACGAUGCCGACCAGCGAUUAGGAGACGUUGAAUACAAAACACCACCAUCGGCGCGGUCGCCCUUGGCGUUCGUGUUCACGCACGGGCGCGAGGGCGGCUUAGCCCGAUGGCACCGGUGAAUGACUCCCCUAGCAGCUUGUGAGAA
rnacentral:rRNA from 1 species